AAUCUGCCCACAGGACGGGGACAACAGUUGGAAACGACUGCUAAUACCCGAUGUGCAUGGAAUUGAAAGAUUUAUCCGCCUGUAGAUGAGCUCGCGUCUGAUUAGCUAGUUGGUGGGGUAAGAGCCUACCAAGGCGACGAUCAGUAGCUGGUCUGAGAGGAUGAUCAGCCACACUGGGACUGAGACACGGCCCAGACUCCUACGGGAGGCAGCAGUGGGGAAUUUUCCGCAAUGGGCGCAAGCCUGACGGAGCAACGCCGCGUGGGGGAGGAAGGUUCUUGGAUUGUAAACUCCUUUUCUCAGGGAAGAAAAAGUGACGGUACCUGAGGAAUAAGCCUCGGCUAAUUCCGUGCCAGCAGCCGCGGUAAUACGGGAGAGGCAAGCGUUAUCCGGAAUUAUUGGGCGUAAAGCGUCCGCAGGCGGUACAUCAAGUCUGUUGUCAAAGCGUGGGGCUCAACCUCAUACAGGCAAUGGAAACUGAUUGACUAGAGUAUGGUAGGGGUAGCGGGAAUUCCAGGUGUAGCGGUGAAAUGCGUAGAUAUCUGGAAGAACACCAGCGGCGAAGGCGCGCUACUGGGCCACAACUGACGCUCAUGGACGAAAGCUAGGGGAGCGAAAGGGAUUAGAUACCCCUGUAGUCCUAGCCGUAACGAUGAACACUAGGUGUUGCGUGAAUCGACCCGCGCAGUGCCGUAGCCAACGCGUUAAGUGUUCCGCCUGGGGAGUACGCACGCAAGUGUGAAACUCAAAGGAAUUGACGGGGGCCCGCACAAGCGGUGGAGUAUGUGGUUUAAUUCGAUGCAACGCGAAGAACCUUACCAGGGUUUGACAUCCCCCGAAUCUCUUGGAAACGAGAGAGUGCCUUCGGGAGCGGGGAGACAGGUGGUGCAUGGCUGUCGUCAGCUCGUGUCGUGAGAUGUUGGGUUAAGUCCCGCAACGAGCGCAACCCACGUUUUUAGUUGCCAUCAUUCAGUUGGGCACUCUAGAGAAACUGCCGGUGACAAACCGGAGGAAGGUGUGGACGACGUCAAGUCAUCAUGCCCCUUACAUCCUGGGCUACACACGUACUACAAUGCUCCGGACAGCGAGACGCGAAGCCGCGAGGUGAAGCAAAUCUCCCAAACCGGGGCUCAGUUCAGAUUGCAGGCUGCAACUCGCCUGCAUGAAGGCGGAAUCGCUAGUAAUCGCAGGUCAGCAUACUGCGGUGAAUACGUUCCCGGGCCUUGUACACACCGCCCGUCACACCAUGGAAGUUGGCCAUGCCCGAAGUCGUUACCCUAACCGUUCGCGGAGGGGGGCGCCGAAGGUAGGGC
rnacentral:rRNA from 1 species